UGAAAGCAAGCUUAAAGAAAUCCCAACAAUAUAUGAAAGAUAUGGCGGAUAAAUCCAGAAGAGAAACAAUUCUUACCGAGGGAGAUUGGGUGAUGGUGCGGCUGCAACCCUACAGGCAAUAUUCCGUGGAAUUCAGGUUUCAUCCGAAAUUAUCAGCUCGUUACUUCGGUCCAUUCAAGGUCACCAAAGCAAUCAGCAAAGUAGCAUACCAGUUAGAACUACCAAAAACUAGCAAAAUCCACCCAAUUUUUCACAUAUCAAAGCUGAAAAAAUUCAAAGGUACAAAUCCAGAAAUGUUAAAACAAAAUAUGCCAGAUGUUACUUACAGGAACGAGAUCGUGACUAUUCCGUUGGCGAUAUUGGGGAAAAGGACAGUGAUUGAUAAAGAAAUACACUACAUCGAGCUACUAGUUCAAUGGGAAGGACUACCACCGGAGGAGACAACUUGGGAGCGUCUGGAGAAACUAUCAGCAGCGUUUCCAUCAAUUAAACUUGAGGACAAGGUUGGUUUGAUGGAAGAAGGAGAUGAUAGAGUCCUGUUACAAAGGGAUCUACUCUUACAAGAUGUAGAACUCAAAGAACGAACAUCGGAUGGGGAAGAUGAGAUAUCGGAGAGUGAGUUACCUGAUGACGACGAUGCAGGCUGGG
rnacentral:lncRNA from 1 species